rnacentral:rRNA from 1 species
AGUGAACGCUGGCGGCGUGCCUAAUACAUGCAAGUCGAACGGAGUGUCGCACGGGUGAGUAAUGUAUAUCUAAUCUGCCCUACACUAUAGGCCAACAGUUGGAAACGGCUGCUAAUACUCUAUAGUGUAGGAUGAGGCUAUAUUGUAUCAGCUAGUUGGUGAGGUAAUGGCUCACCAAGGUUAUGACGCAUAACUGGUGUGAGAGGAUGAUCAGUCACACUGGAACUGAGACACGGUCCAGACUCCUACGGGAGGGAGCAGGAGGGAAUAUUGCUCAAUGGGGGAAACCCUGAAGCAGCAACGCAGCGUGGAGGAUGACACUUUUCGGAGCGUAAAGUCCUUUUGUUAGGGAAGCGGUACCGAACGAGUAAGCACCGGCUAACUCCGUGCCAGCAGCCGCGGUAAUAC